rnacentral:rRNA from 1 species
AUACGUAGGUGGCAAGCGUUGUCCGGAUUUAUUGGGCGUAAAGCGAGCGCAGGCGGUUUCUUAAGUCUGAUGUGAAAGCCCCCGGCUCAACCGGGGAGGGUCAUUGGAAACUGGGAGACUUGAGUGCAGAAGAGGAGAGUGGAAUUCCAUGUGUAGCGGUGAAAUGCGUAGAUAUAUGGAGGAACACCAGUGGCGAAGGCGGCUCUCUGGUCUGUAACUGACGCUGAGGCUACGAAAGCGUGGGGAGC